rnacentral:rRNA from 1 species
UAUUGGACAAUGGGCGAAAGCCUGAUCCAGCAAUGCCGCGUGAGUGAUGAAGGCCUUAGGGUUGUAAAGCUCUUUUACCCGGGAUGAUAAUGACAGUACCGGGAGAAUAAGCUCCGCCUAACUCCGUGCCAGCAGCCGCGGUAAUACGGAGGGAGCUAGCGUUGUUCGGAAUUACUGGGCGUAAAGCGCACGUAGGCGGCUUUGUAAGUUAGAGGUGAAAGCCUGGAGCUCAACUCCAGAAUUGCCUUUGAUACUGCAUCGCUUGAAUCCAGGAGAGGUGAGUGGAAUUCCGAGUGUAGAGGUGAAAUUCGUAGAUAUUCGGAAGAACACCAGUGGCGAAGGCGGCUCACUGGACUGGUAUUGACGCUGAGGUGCGAAA